rnacentral:rRNA from 1 species
AACGAACGCUGGCGGCACGCCUAACACAUGCAAGUCGAACGAAGGCUUCGGCCUUAGUGGCGCACGGGUGCGUAACGCGUGGGAAUCUGCCCUUGGGUCUGGGAUAACGGCGGGAAACUGCCGCUAAUACCGGAUGAUAUCGCGAGAUCAAAGAUUUAUCGCCUGAGGAUGAGCCCGCGUAGGAUUAGGUAGUUGGUGUGGUAAAGGCGCACCAAGCCGACGAUCCUUAGCUGGUCUGAGAGGAUGAUCAGCCACACUGGGACUGAGACACGGCCCAGACUCCUACGGGAGGCAGCAGUGGGGAAUAUUGGACAAUGGGCGCAAGCCUGAUCCAGCAAUGCCGCGUGAGUGAUGAAGGCCUUAGGGUUGUAAAAGCUCUUUUAACCCGGG